GAUGAACGCUGGCGGCGUGCCUAAUACAUGCAAGUCGAGCGAACAGACGAGGAGCUUGCUCCUCUGACGUUAGCGUCGGACGGGUGAGUAACACGUGGAUAACCUACCUAUAAGACUGGGAUCACUUCGGGAAACCGGAGCUAAUACCGGAUAAUAUAUUGAACCGCAUGGUUCAAUAGUGAAAGACGGUUUUGCUGUCACUUAUAGAUGGAUCCGCGCCGCAUUAGCUAGUUGGUAAGGUAACGGCUUACCAAGGCAACGAUGGGUAGCCGACCUGAGAGGGUGAUCGGCCACACUGGAACUGAGACACGGCCCAGACUCCUACGGGAGGCAGCAGUAGGGAAUCUUCCGCAAUGGGCGAAAGCCUGACGGAGCAACGCCGCGUGAGUGAUGAAGGUCUUCGGAUCGUAAAACUCUGUUAUUAGGGAAGAACAAAUGUGUAAGUAACUAUGCACGUCUUGACGGUACCUAAUCAGAAAGCCACGGCUAACUACGUG
rnacentral:rRNA from 1 species